rnacentral:lncRNA from 1 species
GACAUCCUUAUGACUUGCUUUAGGCUGCUUUCUGGAUGUAUUUUCAGAGCUGGGGAUGAGGAGAGGUUGCGUAAAGGUGCCGGCCUGCUGCUGGCCGGGGCUGGCAGCCUUUCAGCCGCCGCGGGUGAGUCAACACCUGGGAAUUGCAUCCAAGGGCGGCCCUUUCAAGCUGCCUGGAACUUUCUGCCAUCACACUGAGGCCACUGUUUGACCCAGUCCCGGGCCAGGGAGGCAGGAGCCGAUCACGUCCCAGGGCAGUGCUUCUCCCUGGCACUGAGUCCGUGGAAAGAGGCUGGGAAGGUUCUUUCCACACUUGAGGGCUGGCGUUGGGAAAAUAGGGUAGUGCUCUCCGCCCCAGUGAACAGCAAGAGCUCACUUCCCCCAGCAGACUUCUGCUCCACUGGCCUACUUUCAGCAUGGAGUGGAAGGAAGCCAGCUCCAGGAGGGCAGAGGCUUCCUCUCCACCCCUCUCUUCCACAACCUUCAACAGGCGCCUUGUUCUCCCCGGCCAGGGAACUGCGGAUGGUGACCAUCGUUUCCCAGCCCAGCAAGGGGAAAUGAGGGGAGGAAAUAAACGCAGGGUUUUUAUUGCCAAAUAUUUCUUUCCCUGGGAGGACAACGCAUUCAAACCGCUGAGUGGAGAUUGGAGUUAGUCCAGCCAUAAACCAUCUUAAUGAACACUAAUAGAGAACCGCAAUUAUUGUUGACUUCAAAAUGCAAACAAGAACUUUAGACAGUGAUCCCUAUCAGCCGGUGAGGCCGGGCACAGAUGCCGGGCGCUGUUUUUGCCGUUGCUUAGCAAUGGAAAAUGAACUGUUCCUGUCUGUUACCACUGGAGGUGGAGGUAGGACAAUGAGCUUUAUUGGACAGAAUAGGUAUGAAAUUAGUUUAUUCUUUUUCACUUGGAGAAGGCAAUUGGCAGCCAAGAGAGUCACUCGGAAAAGGGAUAAAGUUUGAACUUUUGCCGGGAGUGUCCCUCCAAAACGAUCAUCAAUCAGACAGAAUAGCUGCAAAUACCAACUCACAGACCAGUGAUAGGGUCUUGCUAUGUUGCCUCGGCUGGAAUGCAGUGGCUGUUCAUAGACAUUAUCACAGCACACUACAGUCUCAAACUCCUGGACUCAAGCAAUCCUCCUGCCUCAGCCUCCUGAGUAGCUAGGACUACUGGGAUGCACUACUGCUCUUGGCAAAUUAAGGAUUUUGAGAUGGAGAGACUAUCCUGGAUUAUCUGAUGGGCUUAAUCAUUGACAAAGGUUCUUAUAUAAGGAAAAGUCAAUGUGAUAAUGGAAGCAGAUUUGAAGAUGCUGUGCAACUGGCUUUGAAGAUGGAGGACGGGGCCACAAGCCAAGGAUUGUUGGCAGCCUCUAAGCUGGAAGAGGUAAGAAGCAUAUUCUCCUGUGGCACCUCCGGGAGAAAUGCAGUACUGCCUAUACCUUGACUUUAGCCAAGUGAAACUAAUUUUAGACUUCUCACCUCCAGAACUGUAAGAUAAUAAAUUUGUGUUGAUUUAAGACACUAUGUUUGUGGUAAUUGGUUACAGCAAUAGGAAACUAAUAGACCAGGCAUUAUGUUAAGUGCUUUAUAUCAUUAAAGAAAUGUAUACAAAUCCAC